rnacentral:lncRNA from 1 species
GUGUCACAAGUCAAGGGUACUAAAAUAAGAACCAUAUUAUAUUUUAGAACAUUUAUUGUAAAUACUUGGGUAAUUGAGAAUAUAUUGUUGAACUGUGUGUCAUAGCUUGCUAAGGCAAACUAUAUUUUUAUACUGUAAUCACUAGCAGAGGUGUUUGUAAAGAACUUGGGCUUGGGCUUACAUUGGUGAACACUUUUGGUUGUGAGUGAAGAAUGCAUAGUGGGGAUAUAGUUGGGAGAUGUAAUGAGUUGUGGGCAGUCACAUAACGUUCUUGAGAGAGAAACUGUGUGUUAAGAUAUUGUGAAAUAUUUUAUUCUGUAUAACUCUGGGUUGAUGACAACCUGUAUUUGUGUAUUGGGUCCUGGUGAUGACGAACGUAGAUGAUGUAUUCUGGGAGUUGGCGAAGAGUGAGUCUGGUGAAUGGCGGUGGUGAUAAUGGUGAACAGAGAAGAUGAUCAGUGAAUGAUCGUGACGACGGUGUCAAUGAUUUUGGCGAACGACGAAGGUGAUCUGUGAAUGAUCCUGACAAAGAGUGUUGAUGAUUCGGGUGAAUGAUGGUGGUAAUACUGGUGAAUGGAGGAGAUGAUCAGUGAAGGAUCGUGAUGAGGGUACCAAUGAUUAUGGUGAACUGAGAUGAUCAGUGAAUGACCGUGACGAGGGGGUUAGUGAUUCUGGUGAACGACAGGGGUAUUAAUAGUAAACGACAACGGUGAUCAGUGAAUGAUCAUUAUGAGGUGUGAUGAUUCUAGUGAAUGAUAAUAAUGAUAAUGGGGAAUGGUGAAGAUGAUCAGUGAAUGAUCAUGACAAGGAUGACGAUGAGGGUGACUUAUGAUGAUGAAUUGUGAAAUGUGAUGAAUAGUGGAAGACAGACAUUUUAGUAUUAUUUUGUGGUUAAAAGAUUUUUACUCUAUUUAAUAUUGAUUCAUAGUUUAAUUUACAUGUGAUAUAUGUUACAUGCGUGAUAGUGCAAUAUGUAUUGGUUGGGAGGGAAGUGUUAUGUAAAUAAAUGUGUAUGAAUGA